rnacentral:rRNA from 1 species
UACGUAGGUGGCAAGCGUUGUCCGGAAUUAUUGGGCGUAAAGCGCGCGCAGGCGGUCUUUCAAGUCAGUGGUGAAAGCCUGGAGCUCAACUCCAGAACUGCCAUUGAAACUGCAAGACUUGAGUACGAGAGAGGUGAGUGGAAUUCCCAGUGUAGAGGUGAAAUUCGUAGAUAUUGGGAAGAACACCGGUGGCGAAGGCGGCUCACUGGCUCGUAACUGACGCUCAGGCGCGACAGCGUGGGGAUCAAACAGG